rnacentral:lncRNA from 1 species
CCAUUUUUUCCACCCCCAUUUUUUUUUGGAUUCAACUGUUCGUCAGAUUGAAUAAAACAACAUUUAAUUUCCUUUCCCUUAUGUUUAAUAUCUAUGCUGAUAUAAUAAGUUUAAUUAAAUGUAUUAUUCAUUCUUAAUUAUGCAUCAAAGUAUAAUGUUUGGGCAAAAAAUAAUAUUUCAGGUUAUUAAUUCCAAGCUUAACAUCAUUUCGAAAUUACUUCUGCUUUCUUGUUGCUCCAUAUGUCCAAUCUUCUGGAAGCUUCUUCCACCUGAAACAAGCAUGAUAUUUUACUAGUCUUGAAGUGUAACAAGAUUCAAACGCAAACGCGGUGGCUUAACGGCCUGACUGGUUCAAACGCAGCGGUUGCGGUUGCAGUUGCGGGAGUUUGCGAAUGCGGGUGGUUGCGGUUUCUAGCGGUUUUAAGAGAUUUGUAUGACUGGUUAUGCGGUUAGAAAUACCCCAAUACGAACAAAAAAAAACUUGCAUGCCCACAAACACCGAACACAAGAUCAAACCCAUUCAAUUACAUCGGCAGGAGAAAUCAACAAUACCCACAAACCAAAGUUUAGAUUUUUCUUUCUUUUACAAUCUCAAACACAAGAAAACAAUCUCACAAACCUUCAAAAACCAAAUACGAGGAAAGGAAAAUGAACAAAAGAAAAACUCACUUGAGUUCGUUCCCGAGCAAUCCGAGGAGAGCUCUGAGAUGCUCCAGGAAGAUGUCGGAGUUGCGGACAAGAUCCUCGUACUUGACCCUGGCAGAGGAGUCGCCAGUGUUGGUGUGGUUGUCUGGAACCACCUGAACUAGUUGCGAGGAGGGUGAAACUGUCGACAUCUUUUCUUUUUUUGCUGUCUUAGGUGAAUGGUAAAGAGUUUGUGAGGCCGUAUAAUCUUUUAAAUACUGAUUUUGUUAUUUUACAAUUAGUCACUUUCUUAACAGUUAAGAAGAAAACAUAGAGUCUGAAUGGCAAGAUGCGGAAAUAACAGCGGUGCGUUUUUUAAUAGUAACAAAAACAUAUAAAUACAUAAAUAUAUAAAAAAUUUUUUGCAACUAUCAAUUAUAGCGAGGUUUGGAAACAUUCAAAGCCUUAAUAAUAUUAAAAAAAAUAAGUAUAAUUAAUUAAUUAGAUAAGUAAUGAUGAUGUUUUAAGAAUUGUUUUAGUCUUAACAAGACCAAGUCAUAGUCUUACACAGAAACAAGAAUUAAGAUUAUUUUCUUUUUUUGUUAAAUACAUAUCUAUAUACAUUGACUAGAUUAAUGAGAUAACGUUGACCAAGAGAAAAAAUAAUUAGAAAAUUAAUAUUCGCAAAAGCCUAUUGCUGGGUUAGUGGGCUUAUCUAAUCACGCGGCCCACUAAAAUAAUAUAAUUAUUUAAAAAACAUGUUUUGAGAAAAUAUUUAUUAUCUAUGUUAUUUGAAAAGAAACUAGAGGUAAAAACUCAUAAUUUAUAAAUGAAAGGAUGAGAGCAUAUAUAUUGAUAUGAAGAUUUAAUAAUUCUUUAUAUGAAAAACCAAUAUUAUGAGUGAAAUGAAGUUUUCAUCAAAUUGAAAAAGAGACACAUAUUCCUUUUAUAAUAAUAAUUACUUCAUGAAUUCAAAAACUACACACAAUUAAGUAAUUUUUAAAUUAUAUAUGUACUUUAAAUCAUCAUAUUUCAUUCAUUUAUAAAUUAUUAUUCAUCUGUGUAUCGUAUUUUAAAAUAAAUACCAAAAGUUAGAUUGAAAACAUCUAACUGGCAAUAUUAAAGUUAUUAUAUUAGACAUUUUUACCGUGUAUUUGUAUAUAAAAUUUUAAUCCAACAAUCAUAAAAUUACUUAAUUAUACAUACAUGUUAUUUAGAAUAUAUAAUAAGACAACUUGAUAAUAAUUUAAAUUGUUUUCCUUAAAACAGUUUAUGUCCACGCCAGUUCAACUAGUUAUUACAACAAUAAUUGUUUUUUCUUAACUCAAUAAAAUUGAAACCAGUAUAAACCCUUAGAACUAUAUUUAAAUUAUUUCUUAUAAAAAAAACACUCGACCUACUAUUUCAAAUCUAUCUCCUCAACCAUUCAAAUAUUAGUGAUAUGUAAAAUAGGUAAAGAUUUUAUUAUAUGCAUAAUAUUUUCUUUAUUAGUUAACUCACACAAAAGAACUCAAAGGUUUCAUUUAGAAGAAAAAAAGAAAUCAAGUUUUCUCAACAAAAAAAAAAUCAAGGGCUUUCAUAUCUUGCGUUAGAAAAAAAGAAGAGUAUACAUCUUUAUAUAUAUAUAUAUAUUUUUUUUUUGAAAAAUACAUCUUUAUAUAUUUGAUGUUAGAUUGUUAGUAAUUUGCUUUGUUUAGCUAAUAUAAAAUACUAGGUUAAGAUCCGUGCCUUGCGCGGGAUGAACAUUAUAUAUAAAAAUUAUUUUAUAUAUUAUAUGUUUAUAGCAUAUUAUGAAAUAAAAAAUAUAUAUUGAAUAAUUAAAAAGUCAUUAUCUACUAUUUAUAAAAUUAAAUUGGUGCGAACAUAUAAAUAAAUUUAAUAAAUUGAAAAAAAUAUUUUUUCUAUUUGAAAUGAUAUAUAAUUAAAUUUAAAUGAUAAUAACAUAUAUAUGGUAUAUGUUAAUAUUAAUAUUUAUUAGAUGAUGCUUUUUGCUCAUUUUUUUUAUUUGUAUCUGUUAUAGCAAAAAAUUUAAAUUAGUGAUAACAAAAUUUUCACUGUGGGAAUAAUGGUUUAAAUAAUUUAUAAUAUUUUGAAAAUUAAGUUGUCAAUAUUUUUUCAAUUUUUUUAUCAAAAAAAUGUUCAAAGUAAAUUUCAAAAUUAUGAUAUUUAUGUAUUUUUAUAUGAUAUAUAGUUUAAUUUAAAAUGAUAAUAUAUAUAUAUAUAUAUAUAUCAUUUAAAUAUUAAUAAUAAUUAAAUGAGACCUUCUACUCAUAUGAUUUUGUAAUCAUUUGUAUUUUGUCAUAACCAAAAUUUUAAACUAUGGAUCACAAAAUUUGAAUGUGAGACUUUUAACAGUUUUAGUAAUUUAUAGUUGUUUUUAAAAAAUUCAAAAUAUAAUAUAUACCAAAAAAUCAAAAUUUUUAUUAUAUGGUUAAUGUGGUUGUUUAAUUUAUUUUAAUAGUUUAAAAUUAAAAAAAAUAUGAUAAAAGACACUAAUUUUUUUUCAAUCUUUAUUAUUAAAAAUCAUUAAUUGUCAUAUAUUUGUUAGCCGUAUUAGAUAAUUUUGUAAUGUUUAUUUAAGAAAAUAAUAAAUAACAUUAAUAAUGAAUUUAUGGUUAGUUUAAUAAAAAGAUUAUAAUAUAUAUAGAUAAAUUAACAUAUUUCUCUAAAGAUUCUAAGAAUCAUUCUAUUGAUGACACGUGGCUACAAAAAAAAUGUUGUAAUGCUUCUCGAUUAAUAUAUAAGAGAUUCAGAGUUCAUUAUGAUUAGCAUAUUUGAGUGUGCGUAAAAUGUAAGAAUCCAUAUAUAUUUUUGGAGACGAUAAACUGGUAACACUUAAUUUUAUAUAAUUAAAAUUAAAGAAAGGAAGUUGGGACAAAGAGCAGACCUUAUCGCUGCAUUGAAUCCAACAGAUAUCAUAAACACCCAUCCUGAAAUCGUCAUGCUGAGACAAUAAAAUAAAUGAAUAUAUCAUAUGGUAAGUCGAGCUAAUAUAAAGUGUAUAUCCAUAUAAAGCUAUAAGCUUUUGUUAAUACAACAUUAUAAAAUUUCUGUUAAAGGAAAAAAAAAAUAUUAUAAAAUUUCAGAUUUUCAGUUUUAGGAAAUGGAGAUUUUAUAUUUUAAAGAUGCAAAUUCUAUCAUUAUUUGGUACAAGUCCCGAAAUUGAAUGUUGUAAAAUUUCUGUUAAAGCAAAAACAAAAAAAAUUAUAAAAUUUCAGAUUUUCAGUUUUAGGAAAUGGAGAUUUUAUAUUUUAAAGAUGCAAAUUCUAUCAUUAUUUGGUACAAGUCCCGAAAUUGAAUGGCUUCUUUUGUU